AGAAGAAAUCUCGUUUUAAACUUCAAGCUGAGUUAGAUAUGCAACCGCCAAGUAUAAGUAAAAAUCACACUGUUCAUGAACAAGAUGGUCAAAACAUAGAAGGUACCUUGAAUGACCAAAGAGAUGUAGUUUCAAAUCAACUACAUGUUGAUGUGCAAGGUAAUGCCCCACUUGUUAAAAAGUAGAGGCUAUUGUUGCAUAACAUCCAUAGUGAGGAUAUGCUGCUGUACUAUUGUUGUUAUUGCUAUGUUUGGUAUACCACCCUUCAUAUUUAUCU